GUUGAACGCUGGCGGUAUGCUUAACACAUGCAAGUCGAACGGACUAUUCGGAGUUAGUGGCGGACGGGUGAGUAACGCGUGAGAAUCUGGCUUUGGGUUCGGGAGAACCACUGGAAAAGGUGGCUAAUACCGGAUGUGCUGAGAGGUAAAAGCGAAAGUGGCUGAAGAUGAGGUCGCGUCUGAUUAGCUAGUUGGUGAGGUAAAGUCUCACCAAGGCAGCGAUCAGUAGCUGGUCUGAGAGGAUGACCGGCCACACUGGGACUGAGACACGGCCCAGACACCUACGGGAGGCAGCAGUGGGGAAUUUUCCGCAAUGGCCGAAUGUGUGACGAAGCAAUACCGCGUGUAGAAAGAAGGCUCUUGGGUUGUAAACCUCUAUUCUUAGGGCUGAACAUAUUGACGUUACCUACGGAAUCAGCACCGGCUAACUCCGUG
rnacentral:rRNA from 1 species